GCCGUCGUAGCUCAGCCCGGGAGAGCACCCGGCUGAAGGAGGCCGGAAACCGGGGUGUCCGGGGUUCAAAUCCCCGCGACGGCA
rnacentral:tRNA from 1 species